rnacentral:rRNA from 1 species
UACGGAGGAUCCAAGCGUUGUCCGGAUUUAUUGGGUUUAAAGGGUGCGUAGGCGGCUUUUUAAGUCAGUGGUGAAAGUUUGCGGCUUAACCGUAAAAGUGCCAUUGAAACUGGAAGGCUUGAGUAUGGUUGAGGUGGCUGGAAUGUUGCAUGUAGCGGUGAAAUGCUUAGAUAUGCAACAGAACACCCAUUGCGAAGGCAGGUCACUAAACCAUAACUGACGCUGAGGCACGAAAGCGUGGGGAUCAAACAGG